ACGGAGGGUGCAAGCGUUGUCCGGAUUCAUUGGGUUUAAAGGGUGCGCAGGCGGGACAUUAAGUCAGGGGUGAAAGACGGUUGCUCAACAAUCGCAGUGCCUUUGAUACUGGUGUUCUUGGGUAACCUUGAGGUAGGCGGAAUGGGUGGUGUAGCGGUGAAAUGCAUAGAUACCACCCAGAACUCCGAUUGCGAAGGCAGCCUACUGGAGGUCAACCGACGCUCAGGCACGAAAGCGUGGGGAUCAAACAGGAUUAGAUACCCUGGUAGUCCACGCCGUAAACGAUGAUCACUCGCUGUGGGGAGACUUCUUUCCGCGGCUUAGCGAAAGCGUUAAGUGAUCCACCUGGGGAGUACGCUCGCAAGGGUG
rnacentral:rRNA from 1 species